UUUUUUAUAUUAUAGAAAAAAUGAUGUGUGCUAACACCUUCCAACAGUCUAUCUGACUUUUGAAAAGAUGCCAUUUCACACCUCUAUGAUGGAUUACAAAAUCAUCAUUCGGAUUUAGGAAUUUGCUCUUAAACUAGAUUAAUUAGGGCGGCUAGAUCAACCCACUCUAACUCCAGCUAAACUUAAUUACAUAAAGUAAAAUAUAGUCAAGCCUCUUGUACCCAUAUAAGUGAGUGGGCAAAAACCAUUGCAUUGGAAAAUACUAGCUUCAGAAAGAUAACGAAGCCU
rnacentral:lncRNA from 1 species